UACGUAGGGUGCGAGCGUUGUCCGGAAUUAUUGGGCGUAAAGGGCUCGUAGGCGGUUUGUCGCGUCGGGAGUGAAAUCCACUGGCUUAACUGGUGGCUUGCUUUCGAUACGGGCAGACUGGAGGUAUGCAGGGGAGAACGGAAUUCCUGGUGUAGGCGGUGAAAUGCGCAGAUAUCAGGAGGAACACCGGUGGCGAAGGCGGUUCUCUGGGCAUGUCCUGACGCUGAGGAGCGAAAGCGUGGGGAGCGAACAGG
rnacentral:rRNA from 1 species